rnacentral:rRNA from 1 species
UGGGGAAUAUUGCGCAAUGGGGGCAACCCUGACGCAGCCAUGCCGCGUGAAUGAAGAAGGCCUUCGGGUUGUAAAGUUCUUUCGGUAGCGAGGAAGGCACUUAGUUUAAUAGACUAGGUGAUUGACGUUAACUACAGAAGAAGCACCGGCUAACUCCGUGCCAGCAGCCGCGGUAAUACGGAGGGCGCGAGCGUUAAUCGGAAUAACUGGGCGUAAAGGGCACGCAGGCGGUGACUUAAGUGAGGUGUGAAAGCCCCGGGCUUAACCUGGGAAUUGCAUUUCAUACUGGGUCGCUAGAGUACUUUAGGGAGGGGUAGAAUUCCACGUGUAGCGGUGAAAUGCGUAGAGAUGUGGAGGAAUACCGAAGGCGAAGGCAGCCCCUUGGGAAUGUACUGACGCUCAUGUGCGAAAGCGUGGGGAGCAAACAGGAUUAGAUACCCUGGUAGUCCACGCUGUAAACGAUGUCGAUUUGGGGGUUGAACUUUAAGUUUGGCGCCCGUAGCUAACGUGAUAAAUCGACCGCCUGGGGAGUACGGCCGCAAGGUUA